GACGAACGCUGGCGGCGUGCCUAAUACAUGCAAGUAGAACGCUGAAGGAGGAGCUUGCUUCUCUGGAUGAGUUGCGAACGGGUGAGUAACGCGUAGGUAACCUGCCUGGUAGCGGGGGAUAACUAUUGGAAACGAUAGCUAAUACCGCAUAAUAUUGACUAUUGCAUGAUAGUCAGUUGAAAGGUGCAACUGCACCACUACCAGAUGGACCUGCGUUGUAUUAGCUAGUUGGUGGGGUAACGGCUCAUCAAGGCGACGAUACAUAGCCGACCUGAGAGGGUGAUCGGCCACACUGGGACUGAGACACGGCCCAGACUCCUACGGGAGGCAGCAGUAGGGAAUCUUCGGCAAUGGACGGAAGUCUGACCGAGCAACGCCGCGUGAGUGAAGAAGGGUUUCGGAUCGGAAAGCUCUGUUGUAAGAGAAGAACGAGUGUGAGAGUGGAAAGCUCACACUGUGACGGUAUCUUACCAGAAAGGGACGGCUAACUACGUG
rnacentral:rRNA from 1 species